CGCUAGGGGACGCAGUGAGCAGGCCGCGCCUCACCGGAUGAUGUAGUCCUGUGGCUGCCUGCUAUCAUCGUUUUCCUGCCACCCCAGGUGAGUGUUGCGGAUAUGAACCAGAUGAAUGUCGGUUCAGGUUUCCCAAAUGAAACCCCACAGCACACAGCUUGGUCUACGUGAAAAUGUAGGACCAGACAUCUUACAAGCAGGAUGCUGAGGUGAUGAUGCCAGAGCCAGUGUUGAGUACACUGGUGGUCUAUCCAUCAUCAGGCUACUGCAUGUGUUCACAGAGGUUCUACUGAUGCCCACUCUGACCGUGGAGCCUUCAGGACGAUAAACAGCGCCACUGGCCACCCCACCACAGCUGUUAUUGUUUUGUUGCUGAGCUGAGGAGCGUCGGGCAGCAUGGUUAAAAAAAGAUCUGUACAUAUUAGUGCUCUUCUAUCAGGGAGGGAGUGUUUGUUGUUUGCGCUAACUUCUGUCAUUGUAAUAUCGAAGGACAAGUGGCAAAAAAUGUUUGUCAAAGCAGUGUAUUCCUCUGUCUCUCCCUCUUUCCAUGUCUCUGCCCAUAAACAGUCCUCCCUUGUCAAGUUGGGUAUCAAAGCUCCCCUGACCUCUGACCUAUUGACACUUAGCUCAUCUGAGCCCCAUUCCCGAACUUACACUUCAAAAUAAACUCAGCAAAAAAGAAACGU